GUGCUUUGCAAAUACAUCACAUUUGACAGAGACAGAAUUCAGUGUUCAGCACCAAAAAAAUAUUUACAAAAACGUGCACUUAAAAUUUUAGUUAAGCAAUACAUAGGCUAGUGAGUUGUGGUCGAAGGUUCCUGUCUAUCUCCAUGAAGACAUGCAGCUGAUGCUGAUACUGAUAGAAUGCAGAUUUUUUAAGCUUUUUGAGCCAUAAAACUAAAGAUAAAUAUGGUGUUUAAUGCUAUUCUGUGGCAAUGUGUAAGUCAUGAACCCCAAUCCAGAAAAGUUACAUAGUGCACCUUUAAGCUUAUAAAAGUCUAUUUACAGAAAGAGCUUUACAAAUAGUUGUCAGGGUGCUCAGAUACAAAACCAAAUACAGUCAUUUAGAUUUGGAGCAAUAACUUAGAGAAGGUGCAGGUCCAUAAGGGCCAGAACAUCCAGACUGGCCAACAGUCUGUAUCCACAGGCUGUGAGGCUCCUGAACUCUGCCCCUCUCCCCUCUCGGCCCCUCUCUGCCUCCCUCUCACGGACAAAAAUCACAUCCAACUUUUAAUAACACUGAACUGGUUGCAUUGUUGCAUUUUGUCAUCAUUCUCCGGUCCCUGUCUGUAUGUCCCUGUUUUGUGCACCUUACUUGACACCAUCAUGCUGCUACAAGAACUGUCUCAUGUUGUACUGAAGCCACACUGGGUUAACGUUUACACUUGGGUUUAAGGGGUAUUUAUUAUUUAUGGGUUUGCACUUUAUGGGAUGCUCCAAAUGUAAUUUUGUUGUUCUUCUGUGACAAUGACUACAAAUAAAUUGAAUUGAAUUGAUGGGCUUUAUGUUCACCCAGCCAUGAACAGCGCAUUGUGCGCUCUGCUGAGAAGGUGAUUGGCUGCAGCCUUCCAUCUCUACAGGACCUGUACGUCUCCAGGACUCGGGGGCGAGCAGGCCGUAUAGCAGCUGACACUUCUCACCCUGGACAUGGACUAUUUGAGCCACUUCCCUCUGGCAGGAGGCUACGGUCCAUUGGGACCAGAACCUCUCGCCAUAAGAACAGUUUCUUCCCCUCUGCUGUUUGUCUCAUGAACACUCUAUAAUAUCUGCACUAAACUGGACACUUAAUAACACCGGUCACUUUAAUAACCCACUUUGCACUGUUGUUCUGAUGCUGCUAUUGUACAUAUUUUUUCCCUUUAAGUAUUUCAUUUGAUUUUUUUAAGCAUAUCUUUUUAACUUGUGCAUGCCCUUAUUGUAUUUGUAUUUAUUCAGUGUGUUUAUGUUGCACUUUUUCACCGUAUCAAGUUCCUAGUUUGUGAACUGUGUUCACAGACUAUGGCAAUAAAAGUCUUCUGAUUCUGAUUCUGAUUCUGAACAAUGCUAGCAAAGGUUUCAAAGGUGGUCAUUUGUACAUGUUUUUAGGCUAAUAACUAUCCUGUCCAGGUAGUAGCUUGUUCUUCUCCCGUUUUCUUCUCAACAUGAGCUGAAA
ensembl:lncRNA